CCAAUAGCGUAUAUUAAAGUUGCUGCAGUUAAAGAGCUCGUAGUUGAAUUUCGGGAUCAAUAUGUUGGUCGUGCCUUGGUACGUACUAGCUUAUUGAUUUCUCCUUUCUGACGAACCAUGAUGUCAUUAAUUUGGUGUCAUGGGGAAUCAGGACUGUUACUUUGAAAAAAUUAGAGUGUUUAAAGCAGGCUCGCGCUUGAAUACAUUAGCAUGGAAUAAUGAAAUAGGACAUUUGAUUCUAUUUUGUUGGUUUCUAGGAUCGAUGUAAUGAUUAAUAGGGAUAGUUGGGGGCAUUAGUAUUCAAUUGUCAGAGGUGAAAUUCUUGGAUUUAUUGAAGACUAACUACUGCGAAAGCAUUUGCCAAGGAUGUUUUCAUUAAUCAAGAACGAAAGUUAGGGGAUCGAAGACGAUCAGAUACCGUCGUAGUCUUAACCAUAAACUAUGCCGACUAGGGAUCGGAUGAUGCUAAUUUUUUAAUGACUCAUUCGGCGCCUUACG
rnacentral:rRNA from 1 species